rnacentral:lncRNA from 1 species
AUGGCGCCGGCCGCCCUCCUCCGUGAGGUGACCCAGGUGCUGUGCGCGGCCGGGGGCGCCUUGGAGCUGGAGGAGCUACGGCGCCGCGUGCGGCCGAGCGUCGUCGGCGAAGUGCUGGACCGGCUGCUGCGGGAGCGCGGGCGCUUCGUGGUGGCGCAGCGGGCGGCCGGGGCGGGCGCGGCGGCCGUCGAGCGCGUGGUGCUGGCCGUGUCGCCGCUGCGGCUCUGCGGCGCCCAUCUGGGCCCGAAGCCGGGCUGCGCGGGGCUGUGCGCGCAGCUGCACCUCUGCAAGUUCUUGUUCUACGGCAAGUGCAAGUUCCUCAGGGACGGGAAGGACUGUAGGAAUGGCCACAACUUGAUGUCCAAUCACAACAUAAGCGUGCUGAAAACACAUGGCUUGGACCACCUCAACUUCGGUGAGCUCUGCAUGCUCCUGUUUCAGAACGACCCCUUGCUCUUGCCAGAGAUCUGCCUUCAUUACAACAAAGGAGAUGGACCGUAUGGCUCUUGUUCCUUUAAAAAGCACUGUAUCAAGCUCCAUGUCUGCCAGUAUUUUUCACAGGGUGAAUGCAAGUUUGGCACUGGCUGUAAGAGAUCCCAUGAUUUCUCUAAUUCUGAGAACCUGGAAAAACUGGAGAAGUUGGGUAUGAGGCCGGAGCUGGUGAGCAAGCUGCCUUCCAUUUACAGAAAUGCUCAUGACAUCAAGAGUAAGAGCUCUGCCUCCAUCCGGGUGCCACCUCUACCCUCGCAGUCACAGGGGACUUCCGAAAGAAGAGACACAGGUUCUGUGUCCCUAAACACUGCCACCCAAGAGGAGAGUGAUCAGAUCUGCUUGUUCCAUAUCUGGAAGAGCUGUAGCUUUCAAGAUAAGUGCAGUAAAGUUCAUUUCCACUUGCCAUAUCGAUGGCAAGUCUUAGAUGGAGGCAAGUGGAAGGAUUUGCACAAAAUGGAGCUUAUUGAAGAGGCAUAUAGCAAUCCUGCAAGAGACGGGGUCACGUGCACUGAGACAUCCAGUAGCUUUCUCAUUGGUUUUCUGAACUUUGACACCAUGAAGUUUGGUGCCACCCAGGCUCGCCGUCUCUCCACAGCCUCCUCGGUCACCAAACCUCCACACUUCAUCCUCACCACCAACUGGGUUUGGUACUGGACUGAUGAGUUUGGCUCUUGGCAGGAAUAUGGACGACAAGGCGUGGAUCACCCUGUGACCAGCGUCACCAGCAGUGACUUGGAGAAGGCCUACCUGGCGUACUGUGCCCCGGGGUCUAACCCCCAAGCAGCCACCCUGAGGUUCCAGGCAGGAAAGCACACAUAUGAGUUAGACUUCAAAGCCUUCAUUCAGAAAAACGUGAUCUAUGGCACAGUUAGAAAGGUUUGCCGAAGACCCAAAUAUGUGUCUCCCCAAGAUGUGAAGAUGAAGCAAACCUGCAGCAUCAAUUCUCAAGGCCUAAAGAACAUUCCUGACCAUUGGGAUCGCUCGGCCCUGCCAGACACUGGCUUUAAGAGGAUCACCGUCCCUUCUUCCUCAGAAGAGUUUCAGAAGGUCUGGAACCUCUUCACCUGUACAAUGCCUCUCUACUCCAUUCAGAAGAUUGAACGGGUCCAGAACCCCGCCCUCUGGGAAGUCUAUCAGUGGCAAAAAGAGCAGAUGCAGAAGAGGAACGGUGGCAAGAUGGUGGACGAAAGGCAGCUGUUCCACGGCACCAGCACUGGUUUUGUCGAUGCCAUCUGCCAGCAGAACUUUGACUGGCGGGUCAGUGGUCUCCACGGUACUUCCUACGGCAAAGGGAGCUACUUUGCCCGGGAUGCUGCAUACUCCCACCACUACAGCAAAACCGACAGCAACACCCACACCAUGUUCUUGGCUCGGGUGCUGGUGGGCGAGUUCGUCCGGGGCAGCACGGCCUACGUCCGCCCCCCAAUCAAGGAGGCCCAAGGCAACAUCCUGUACGACAGCUGCGUGAACAGCAUGUCCGAACCCUCCAUCUUUGUGAUCUUCGAGAAGCACCAGGCCUACCCGGAGUACAUCAUCCAGUACACCGCCUCCACCAAGCCCCCGGCCGCCGCCCCCGCCCUCUUCUCCUUGGCUUCUUUCUUCAGCGGCCGGCAGUGAGCACCCC